rnacentral:rRNA from 1 species
GCCUUAUGCAUGCAAGUCGAGCGAAGCUUUUCAGUAGUUUACUACAGAAAAUGACUGAGCGGCGAACGGGUGAGUAACGCGUGAGCAACCUACCUUAGUUACUGGGAUAGCCCGAGGAAACUCGGAUUAAUACCGGAUAUUCUUAUUUAAUCACAUGAUUUUUUAAGGAAAGGUCAGCCGAACUAAGAUGGGCUCGCGUUCUAUCAGCUAGUUGGUAGGGUAAUGGCCUACCAAGGCUACGACGGAUAGCUGGUCUGAGAGGACGAUCAGCCACACUGGGACUGAGACACGGCCCAGACUCCUACGGGAGGCUGCAGCAGGGAAUAUUGCGCAAUGAGCGAAAGCUUGACGCAGCGACACCGCGUGUGGGAUGACGGAUCUAGGUUUGUAAACCACUUUCAGGAGGGAAGAAAAUG